UACGAAGGGGGCUAGCGUUGCUCGGAAUCACUGGGCGUAAAGCGCACGUAGGCGGCUUUCUAAGUCAGGGGUGAAAUCCUGGAGCUCAACUCCAGAACUGCCUUUGAUACUAGAAAGCUUGAGUUCGGGAGAGGUGAGUGGAACUGCGAGUGUAGAGGUGAAAUUCGUAGAUAUUCGCAAGAACACCAGUGGCGAAGGCGGCUCACUGGCCCGAUACUGACGCUGAGGUGCGAAAGCGUGGGGAGCAAACAGG
rnacentral:rRNA from 1 species